rnacentral:rRNA from 1 species
ACUCCUACGGGAGGCAGCAGUGGGGAAUAUUGCACAAUGGGGGAAACCCUGAUGCAGCCAUGCCGCGUGUGUGAAGAAGGCCUUCGGUUGUAAAGCACUUUCAGUAGGGAGGAAGGUAGUGUAGUUAACACCUGCAUUAUUUGACGUUACCUACAGAAGAAGCACCGGCUAACUCCGUGCCAGCAGCCGCGGUAAUACGGAGGGUGCGAGCGUUAAUCGGAAUUACUGGGCGUAAAGCGCAUGCAGGCGGCCUGUUAAGUCAGAUGUGAAAGCCCGGGGCUUAACCUCGGAAUUGCAUUUGAAACUGGCAGGCUAGAGUCUUGUAGAGGGGGUAGGAAUUUCAGGUGUAGCGGUGAAAAUGCGUAGAGAUCUGAAGGAAUACCAGU